GAAAGAAUUUCGGUAGGGGAUGGGCAUGCGGCGCAUUAGGUAGUUGGCGGGGUAACGGCCCACCAAGCCGACGAUGCGUAGGGGUUCUGAGAGGAAGGUCCCCCACACUGGUACUGAGACACGGACCAGACUCCUACGGGAGGCAGCAGUGAGGAAUAUUGGUCAAUGGGCGAUAGCCUGAACCAGCCAAGUCGCGUGAGGGAAGACGGCCCUAUGGGUUGUAAACCUCUUUUGUCGGGGAGCAAGGUCGCUACGUGUAGCGAUUUGAGAGUACCCGAGGAAAAAGCAUCGGCUAACUCCGUGCCAGCAGCCGCGGUAAUACGGAGGAUGCGAGCGUUAUCCGGAUUUAUUGGGUUUAAAGGGUGCGUAGGCGGGAGAUCAAGUCAGCGGUAAAAAUGCGGGGCCCAACCCCGUCGAGCCGUUGAAACUGGUUUUCUUGAGUGGGCGAGAGGUAUGCGGAAUGCGUGGUGUAGCGGUGAAAUGCAUAGAUAUCACGCAGAACCCCGAUUGCGAAGGCAGCAUACCGGCGCCCAACUGACGCUGAGGCACGAAAGCGUGGGUAUCGAACAGGAUUAGAUACCCUGGUAGUCCACGCAGUAAACGAUGAACACUACCUGUUCGGCCUGACUGAAGGCUGA
rnacentral:rRNA from 1 species